rnacentral:rRNA from 1 species
GUAGCUACGUACGGUCGGGAUAAGCGCUGAAAGCAUCUAAGCGUGAAGCCCCCCUCAAGAUGAGAUUUCCCAAUUCGUAAGACCCCUGGUAGACGACCAGGUUGAUAGGUUCGGGGUGGAAGCGCCGUAAGGCGUGCAGCUGACGAAUACUAAUCGGUCGAGGGCUUAUCCUCA